UCAUAUCCGGACAUUUUGAUAUCUUUACCUCUUGAAGAUUCAAAAGUUCUCGGGCAAUUAAAUGCGAGAACACAUAUUUUAGACCACAACAUCCUCUCAUUGCCAAAUAUCUCAAAUUUUGGAAGCCCUGAAAUCCAGACGGAAUGUUUUUCCACAAGUGUGUAAACGAUAUAUAAAAAGGGAAAAAAAUUAAAAAAAGGGAAAAAAAUUAAGAUCUAAAAAGUGGGAGAAACCCAUCUUCUCUCCUCCUCCCGUAUCCUCUUUUGCGCUGCAACAGGAGCCCCAUUAAACAGCAAGCCGACGACUGCCGAGUGCCGACGCAACAGCUCUGUCGUCCACGGCUCACCAAAGGCUCUCAAACUACACAUCCAGAAUGCUCUUGCCGUCCUUCAUCCAAUCCCCAAGUUAGUUUCUAUAGAUUCGUAGGCGACUUUCCUCAACCUCAAAUUUAAGAAACGGUGACCCAGGGUUUUCCGGCCAACUUCCGGCCAAUAUCGCCAGAAUUGGAGCUCGACCCAAGAGGUAGAAAUGAUCCUCUUCUCGUGGGCUGUUCGCCAAUUGGAUGGUUAAGACUUAAUGUGGAGGAAAUUCUCUCUUGAAGUUGCUUGAACUUACCUAUUUGGUAGACAAGGCUCCUCAAGGGAGAGCUAGCCGGAGGUGUGAGUGGACAUUUAUUUAAGAAAUGUUUUUUCUUUUAU